GUAUGUAGUGGUUUUGAAGAUGUUGCGAGCAUCGAGGGAUUCAUAAUCCCUAGGUCGGUGGUUCAAGUCCACCCGUCGCCA
rnacentral:tRNA from 1 species